UUUGCCAGUUGCCUGCCAACUUCUAUCCCUGGGUCUGUUCCUGGGAGGUUUCUAGGACACCUCAGCUCUUGUUCCCAGAUGCUCCAUGCCUCUCCCUGAGUCUCAGGGUGCUUCUAGCCUGAUGGAGAAGCUGGUUCUACCUUUGUCUGAUGGAGCAGGCACAGGCUCUGCCCUCAGGGAGCCCUCAGUCUGAGGGGAGACAGGACACAAGCCCGGCCUUCAGAGUGGCCAGUCAUGAUGGCAUCCCCCAUCAUGAUUUUAAUUUUUAGUCUUUACUUGUUCACGACUCUAUAUCUGUGUCUCUUCCUGGAACUUAAGAUCCGUGACAGCAGGGACUUCUAUCUGCCUCUCACAGCAUCUUCGGCACUUGUCUAGCACCAAGCAAGCAAUAUUUCCUGAAUGAAUGAAUGAAUGAAUGAACUGGGAAACAGCACCAGAUCUGAAAGCCCCACGUCAAGAGGCAGCAGUGGAUAAACUCUAAAGUCCUUCCGCAUUCCAGCCUGUGUGAUGUGGCCCUCCACCUUGCCGCCUCCCACCCCUCUGGCCACACUCUUCAGCCACCAGCCACUAUGAGCACUGGCUGCCCUGGUGUCAGCCCCAGUUCCCACCUCCACCCCUUUCCUCACCGCACUCCCUCUUCCUGCAACUGCCUUUGCUCCCAUUGCCACAUGACUAAAUCCUGCCAGUCCUUCAAGGCCCUACGCAGAGUCACCUCCAGGAAGCCCACUCAGAUCCCUCCACUGGAUCUAAACGUCCAUAGCUUUUUCUCUGGGCCUCUUCUCUCACUGUGUCUGCAUAGGCCUGCUGGGGUCAUGGCUUCUCUCCCUUUUAUGCCAUAAGGCCCUGAGGGCCAGGAUUGCCUGCAGUUGCCCUGGAGGCCGGUACCUUGUGGUGGCUCCAUUGGAGGAAGUGUGAGCUGCUCAGUAGGCAGGUGGUCGUGUGUGCUCCUCUUUGCCCCAGCUUCUGGAAGCGCUGGCAGCCUUGGGUCUGCACAAACUGGCUACAAACACAUAUGACUGCAUCUCACUCCAGUCCACAGCCAUGCCAAGGAGGAGGAUGCUACUCCCUGGGGCCCGCCUGCAGAGAGCCCCACGAGAUCUUCCUUGAGGAUUUGUUUUCUACCUUGAACUUUCACAGGCAUUUUACUUCCUACCCCAUGCUAUGUCCUUGUAUGUUUUAGUAUCAAAAUAAUGCUUUCCAUCACUUACCAUUGGAAAAAAACGGACACUCGAAGAGAUAAGGCAAAUUAUCAGGCCUGAGCUGUUCUUGCCCCUCUUCCUGGGUUUGGAAAGAGUGCAGAACCAGGAGCGAUAGGCCUGGGCCCAGGCUUGGCCCUGCAGACGAUGAUGGCUAAGUCAUCCAUAGAAUGGGCUGGUGAGCCUGCCGUGCCUUGCCUUAGGACAGUGGCCACCACUAAAUGGAGCAGUGGGUGUGAAGACUAAUGAUUCACACAUGGAACUUGAGGUGUCGGCUGGCUGUCUGGGGGCUGGGCCCCUCUCCAGGCCCCUCUGAGACUGGAGAAGCUGGAGGGAGCCUGAGGCCGACACCCCCAGCAUGGCCGCCACCCAGAUUCCCCCGAGCAGGCCGGGGACUGGGGGUCCAGGCAGCAGCUGCCCCCUCCCAGGCUAGAGGAAAGGGUGAGCUCACCCCCUGGCCCAGGCAGAGUGAGGGGGGUAGGAGACAUAAUUAAAAUGCCAGAGGUUAGGAGGUGAAGUUACAAUGGAAAGAAUGAAGCCCCAGCCCUGCUGCCGCUGCUUCUCCCACCCCGCUCCCUUUGCCAAGCCCACAUUUGAUUUUUAUUUCGGGAGCCGCCAGCACAGCACUUGGGAGGGAGUGGAGAAACCUCACUCCGGCUUGCCUUGCCAAGUCUGGAGCUGGGGCCACAGAGUGGGGAGGGGGCUCCUGGGACCCAGAGGAAGAGCCCAGAGGCCCCCACCCCAGGACCCAACGUCCUCAGGGAUCAGGUGCCAGGGAAGGGUGGCACUUGGGGCAGGGAGUGGGCUUGGGAGGCCAGGAAGAGAGACCUCGAAACAAUGAAGGCAUUCCUCGAUGUUUGCAUGAGGCUUUGCGCCUUCACUUUACUCUGGAGGCUGACCCCGGCCUCUUUCCCACUCCCAGCGCUAACUCCGCCUGCCCCCAACACUGGAGACUUUCAGUGCCCACUGGCAUGUGCAUAUUUGUGAAAGGGUUGCUGUGUGGCCCUGGGGAAGUUACUACCCCUCUCUGGACCUCAGUCUUCUCUCUGUGAAAUGGGCAGGUUGGCAAGAUUAGCAGGUUCAAACUGGGCUCUGCAAGGGUGUUGGAGGCCUGGGCCCUGCCCUCUCCUGGCCACCCUUUCCUGAGCACAUCUCUUAUCUGCCCCUUCUAGGGACUGGGGAGGUGGAGGCAGCGGUUGGCCCAUCCCCUGAGCCCCCGCCGCCCCCCUGCAGACGGGAGCUGCUGGGGCCAACUCACAUUUUCCUGCUCUCGGCUUUCUCCUCUGCCCAUAAUGCACUCCAGAUGGUCUCUCCAUCGGAGAGCCGAGGCAGCG
rnacentral:lncRNA from 1 species